GAUGAAGAACGUAGCGAAAUGCGAUAAGUAAUGUGAAUUGCAGAAUUCAGUGAAUCAUCGAAUCUUUGAACGCACCUUGCGCUCCUUGGUAUUCCGAGGAGCAUGCCUGUUUGAGUGUCAUGAAAUUCUCAACCUUUUCAGCUUUCUUUGUUGAUCAGGCUUGGAUGUGGGAGUAUGCGGGCUUCUCAGAAGUCGGCUCUCCUGAAAUGCAUUAGCGGGACCUUUGUUGCCUGGCUUUGGUGUGAUAAUUAUCUACGCCAUUGUAGUCAAGCAGCUUAAAAUGAGGUUUCAGCUUCUAACCGUCUCCCCUGAGACAACUUUUUGACAAUUUGACCUCAAAUCAGGUAGGACUACCCGCUGAACUUAAGCAUAUCAAUAAGCGGAA
rnacentral:misc_RNA from 1 species